AGGAGCAUAGCUCAAUGGUAGAGCCUCCCACCGAUAAUGGGAAGGUCGAAGGUUCAAUUCCUUCUGCUCCUACCA
rnacentral:tRNA from 1 species